rnacentral:rRNA from 1 species
GACGAACCGUGCGAACGUUGUUCGGAAUCACUGGGCUUAAAGGGCGCGUAGGCGGUCUGCCAAGUCCGGGGUGAAAGCCCCCAGCUCAACUGGGGAAGUGCCUUGGAUACUGGUGGACUCGAGCGAGGCAGGGGUCGUGGGAACUUCCGGUGGAGCGGUGAAAUGCGUUGAUAUCGGAAGGAACGCCGGUGGCGAAAGCGCACGACUGGUCCUCUUCUGACGCUGAGGCGCGAAAGCCAGGGGAGCAAACGGG